rnacentral:misc_RNA from 1 species
GGUCUAUGGAGUGGAAUACUUUUGGAGAAACAUUCCACUAUUUCUUCUACGUCUUGAAAAAGGGACAAAGAUCAUCAGAGAGCGAGGAGUGCAGGGAGAAAACUCAUAUGCCAUCAAUAUCUCUAUACCAUGACGAAUUAGAGGGUGAAGACUUUUUAUUCAGAACCAACAUUGAUGAGAUGGAAAGCUAGAAAUGAAAUGUAAAUUGCGACUCUCUACCCAUUGCUUUAUGUCUUCUAUUUUAGGACUGAGG